CUCGUGUAGGGUUGGGGUUCCAGCAGCACGUUUUUUUCUACUCAAACUUCGAGUUCCGGAAAAAGUGAACGAAAGUCGGACCCCGGGAGUGGUGUGGCGCAGCAGUCGAGGAAGUGACGAUUAAACACACCAAGUCUCAGAGAGAUUAAGCCACCUGCAAGGUCACACAGCUAGUGAGUGGCAAAGCUGCUAAAAGUGAUGAGGAUCGUUUAAUUUCUGGAUAUGGAAAGCUGGCCUAUUAUGUGAUAAAAGAGAAGAAAGGCUAUGUGAGGACACACA